rnacentral:rRNA from 1 species
CCUACGGGUGGCAGCAGUGAGGAAUAUUGGUCAAUGGGCGAGAGCCUGAACCAGCCAAGUCGCGUGAGGGAGUACUGCCCUAUGGGUUGUAAACCUCUUUUGUCGGGGAGCAAAAGCCGGACGUGUCCGGCUGUGAGAGUACCCGAAGAAAAAGCAUCGGCUAACUCCGUGCCAGCAGCCGCGGUAAUACGGAGGAGGCGAGCGUUAUCCGGAUUUAUUGGGUUUAAAGGGUGCACAGGCGGAUUUUUAAGUCAGCGGUAAAAUCGUGGGGCUCAACCCCAUCCAGCCGUUGAAACUGGGGAUCUAGAGUGUGCGAGAGGUAUGCGGAAUGCGUGGUGUAGCGGUGAAAUGCAUAGAUAUCACGCAGAACCCCGAUUGCGAAGGCAGCAUACCGGUGCACAACUGACGCUCAGGCACGAAAGCGUGGGUAUCGAACAGGAUUAGAUACCCCAGUAGUC